rnacentral:rRNA from 1 species
UACGUAGGGUGCGAGCGUUGUCCGGAAUUACUGGGCGUAAAGAGCUCGUAGGUGGUUUGUCGCGUCGUCUGUGAGAUUCCGGGGCUUAACUCCGGGCGUGCAGGCGAGACGGGCAUAACUUGAGUGCUGUAGGGGAGACUGGAAUUCCUGGUGUAGCGGUGAAAUGCGCAGAUAGCAGGAGGAACACCGAUGGCUAAGGCAGGUCUCUGGGCAGUUACUGACGCUGAGGAGCGAAAGCAUGGGUAGCGAACAGG